AGAGAUACGCUUUACUCAGAGCAGGACGUUCAUAUGGAGCCACCUACAUGCAUAGUAAAGCAAAAGAAAAAAAGGGUAAUAUACAAUAUAAAUUUUAUCCCUUGGAAGGAACAAUAAAUAACAAAUGUAGCAGUUAAAAAGCAGAAUAAGAUAUUUUCAAAAGCUAAACAGUGUUCUCAGAAGUCAAUUAAGUGAUGCAAUCUUUUGCUUUUCUAAGCUCAAAUAAUAAUUAAAACAAAACAAUUGUUCAUGAUGAUAAAGAGUAUAGUCAUCCAAAAUGUAAAAUAUAAACGAAAUGGAUACAAUUCUAGUUAAUAGAUUGAGCAAUCAUUUGGUAAAGCAACGAU